UACGUAGGGGGCGAGCGUUAUCCGGAAUUACUGGGCGUAAAGCGCACGUAGGCGGUCUUUUAAGUCGGGGGUGAAAUCCUGGAGCUCAACUCCAGAACUGCCUUCGAUACUGGAAGACUUGAGUCCGGGAGAGGUGAGUGGAACUGCGAGUGUAGAGGUGAAAUUCGUAGAUAUUCGCAAGAACACCAGUGGCGAAGGCGGCUCACUGGCCCGGUACUGACGCUGAGGUGCGAAAGCGUGGGGAGCAAACAGG
rnacentral:rRNA from 1 species